GCAGGUCUUGGCUAUGGGACGGCCGAUGCUCGGCGAUGCAUGGCGAAGCCUAGAUUAGUCCGAUGAGGCGGCUCGAUGCAAGACUCGGGCCCGUAGCCCAACUGCCGUUGCUUUGCUUGCAUCGGGAUCAGCAGGCCUUGCUCUCGAAC
rnacentral:lncRNA from 1 species